ensembl:lncRNA
CUGUCUACACUCACAGCUCUCUCUAAGAAGAGACACAAGAUGAAGACUGAGGUGGUUUAUGAGGAGAUUCAGCACAGACCCACUAACAGACACAGUCUCUUCACUCAGAGGGAGGCUGUUCAGGAGGAGUAUGAUGAUGUGAAGAAUGUCAGAGAAUCUAUGAGUGACAUGUUUGGUACGUUAUUAACACCUUCAUUUAGUCUUUAUAAUCACUUUAUAUGAUCAAUUUCUGUGGUUUUGAAAGUUCAUUUAAAUUUACUGCUAGUAUAUUUUACUCUUGUAGUGUUUUUAUCAUGAAUUUUAAUGUAUGUAUUGAUACAUGAAUCGUUCUCUUGUUUUCCAAUAACAGACUAUGAUGAUGUGGAAGAGGAUUCAGGAAAACAGGCAGGAGCUGUUUAACUCAAACCUCACACACUGCCUCAGAUCCUUUUAAAGCUUUUAAAGUUUUAGCAUUCUUACUGUAUAAGUUUCAGUUGCAAUCUAACAGUGUUUUGUUACAUUCUGUACUUAAAUAUACAACUGCAAUUUUUGACAGAAAAUUGAUUUUUGAUUUCAUGACCUCUUCAAAAGGUGCUUGACUUUUUCCAGAAGCUUUUAAAAAUCUUUUCUAUUGUGUAGCCUUAGAAUUAUGAGAGAACAAAAACCUGUCAUUUUCUGACAUCAGUUACUUUGUAUAAACAUAAUUGUGUUGAGUUCAGAUCGUUCACCAUUUAGCUACCACCCAUCAUUAAUGGAUUACAGUAUCUUUAACUUAAUAAUAUCAUAAUAUUAAAUAUCAAAAUAUCAUUCACUGAUGGUUCACUGUUAAUAUUUUGCUAAAGGGCAUUAGAAUGUUACGGCAGCCGAGAGCUCAACGGGCUGCAACUUCAGAAAACACAUGCAAAUAGAAAAAAAAAUGUAAGAAAAUUAAAAAAAAAAAAAAA